rnacentral:rRNA from 1 species
UACGUAGGGUGCGAGCGUUAAUCGGAAUUACUGGGCGUAGAGCGUGCGCAGGCGGGCUUUUAAGCCAGACGUGAAAUCCCCGGGCUUAACCUGGGAAUGGCGUUUGGGACUGGAAGUCUGGAGUGCGGCAGAGGAGACUGGAAUUCCUGGUGUAGCAGUGAAAUGCGUAGAUAUCAGGAGGAACACCGAUGGCGAAGGCAGGUCUCUGGGCUGACACUGACGCUCAUGCACGAAAGCGUGGGGAGCAAACAGG